GGAGUCUGGGCCGUGUCUCAGUCCCAAUGUGGCCGUUCAACCUCUCAGGCCGGAUACCCGUCUUAGCCUUGGUAGGCCGUUACCCCACCAACUAGCUGAUAGGACACAGGACCAUCUUAGAACACAUUGCUGCUUUUACCCCUGUUUGAUGCCAAACUGUGGUCUUAUGCGGUAUUAGCUCCGUUUUCACGGAGAUGUUCCCCAUUCUAAGGGAGGUUUCCCAUGUGUUACUCACCCGUUUGCCGCUAAUUCUUACGAUACUCUGUAAGAACUCGCUCGACUUGCAUGUGUUAGGCACGCCGCCAGCGUUAACU
rnacentral:rRNA from 1 species